GCUCCCUGAUGGGAGUAUUCAUGGUUAGAGUCUCAGUCUCUAUUACGGGCCCUAGUACACUUCAGGAACUCAAAAGCUUUGCUGAUAUAAUGCAAGGUGAUAAAAAAGUAGAAAGACUUGGGAUAAUCUUGAUUUCUGAAGGCAUCAAACGGGAAUUAGAGAAAGCAGCAGGAAAAACGAAGGCCUUUUUAAGUUCCAUGAGAACUACGGUUUGCAAGACUGGUCAAAACAGUACAAUGCAAGCGGCAAGAAUCAGGAAGUGCACAGAAACAAGAAGCUCGGUGCACACUGGGAUCAGGCAAGCAUCUGGGAGAAGACUGUAGCAAGACUGGAUCCUGAGAAAUAUACAGAGUUCAGAGGCUCCAUGGCUACACUUUGGGCAUGUAUGUCAUUACAGGAAUGAAAAAAAGAUGAUGGCCAAAUGCUGUAUUAAAAUCCCAUUAGAAAUGCCGGGAGAAAUUUAUGGCCCCAAUCUCUUUUAUCUGACAGCAGUUCCCAUGUGAUCCAUCAGGCUCUGAACAUGAAUUUUAAUGGGCUCAGAACCACUUCUCUACCCUGAGGUCACAGGCUGUCAGAGUGAAUCUUCCACAAACUGAUUGGAACCUGAAGAAUUUGCUCUGUCAAGAGAGAGUGUUUCAAUUGAAUAUUGCAACUGAAGACAUUCACUCUGCGUUGAUCACCUAUGGAGUGAUCAAAUUUCAACCCUUUGAAGUUUCCUAAAUGAAAGAGGCACUCUGAAUUCAAAGGCUGUUUGAAUGAACUGACUGCUUCAGCACUGUCUUGUAGAUAUAGUCCAUUCAAAUAAAAGACAAAUAUCUGACUGAAUUUUGUUAGCACGUUAAGACAUGUAUUAUAAAAAGGUUUAAGAAGAAAAUAAUGGCCACAAUUCUUCAGAAAACAUGUGAACUAAUGUGACAAAACACUGUGGUGUUGCAAACUCAAGUGCUGCUCUGGCCAAGUCACCUCGCUGAAAUCUCCACUUCCACUUGUGCAACCUACCAAGCCACUCUCUACACAGCUGCCAGAGUGAUUACAAAAACAACGCGGGAUUAUGCUACCCCUGCUUAUCUAAAAUUUGUCAAAAUGCCCGUUACACUUUGAAUAAAAUACAGAUUCCUCUCAGAUCUCA
rnacentral:lncRNA from 1 species